rnacentral:rRNA from 1 species
UACGGAGGGUGCGAGCGUUAUCCGGAAUUACUGGGUUUAAAGGGUGCGUAGGCGGCGUAGUAAGUCAGGAGUGAAAGUUUGCGGCUCAACCGUAAAAUUGCUUUUGAUACUGCAUAGCUAGAAUUAGGAUGAGGUUAGCGGAAUGUGGCAUGUAGCGGUGAAAUGCAUAGAUAUGCCAUAGAACACCAAUUGCGAAGGCAGCUGGCUAGACCUGGAUUGACGCUGAGGCACGAAAGCGUGGGGAGCGAACAGG